AUGGGAACGCGAAGAACCUUACCUACUCUUGACAUCCAGAGAACUUAGCAGAGAUGCUUUGGUGCCUUCGGGAACUCUGAGACAGGUGCUGCAUGGCUGUCGUCAGCUCGUGUUGUGAAAUGUUGGGUUAAGUCCCGCAACGAGCGCAACCCUUAUCCUUUGUUGCCAGCGGUUAGGCCGGGAACUCAAAGGAGACUGCCAGUGAUAAACUGGAGGAAGGUGGGGAUGACGUCAAGUCAUCAUGGCCCUUACGAGUAGGGCUACACACGUGCUACAAUGGCGCAUACAAAGAGAAGCGACCUCGCGAGAGCAAGCGGACCUCAUAAAGUGCGUCGUAGUCCGGAUUGGAGUCUGCAACUCGACUCCAUGAAGUCGGAAUCGCUAGUAAUCGUAGAUCAGAAUGCUACGGUG
rnacentral:rRNA from 1 species